GUUGGGCGUGAUGGCAGGCGCCUGUAAUCCCAGCUACUUGGGAGGCUGAGACAGAAAAAUCGCUUGAAUCCAGGAGGCAGAGGUUGCAGUGAGCCGAGAUCGCGCCACUGCGCUCCAGCCUGGUGACAGAGCAAGACUCCGUCUCCACAAAAAAAAAAAAAGAAAGAAAGUUCAAUCUCGCCAGUAAUAACUGUAAAUUAAAACAAUAAGAUAAGAUGCCCUUUUUUUUUUGGAGACGGAGUCUCGCUCUGUUGCCAGGCUGGAGCGCAGUGGUGCGAUCUCGGCUCACUGCAACCUCUGCCUCCCGGAUUCAAGCGAUUCUUCUGCCUCAG
rnacentral:sRNA from 1 species